GACGAACGCUGGCGGCGUGCCUAAUACAUGCAAGUAGAACGCUGAAGGAGGAGCUUGCUUCUCUGGAUGAGUUGCGAACGGGUGAGUAACGCGUAGGUAACCUGCCUGGUAGCGGGGGAUAACUAUUGGAAACGAUAGCUAAUACCGCAUAAGAGUAGAUGUUGCAUGACAUUUGCUUAAAAGGUGCAAUUGCAUCACUACCAGAUGGACCUGCGUUGUAUUAGCUAGUUGGUGGGGUAACGGCUCACCAAGGCGACGAUACAUAGCCGACCUGAGAGGGUGAUCGGCCACACUGGGACUGAGACACGGCACAGACUCCUACGGGAGGCAGCAGUAGGGAAUCUUCGGCAAUGGACGGAAGUCUGACCGAGCAACGCCGCGUGAGUGAAGAAGGUUUUCGGAUCGUAAAGCUCUGUUGUAAGAGAAGAACGAGUGUGAGAGUGGAAAGUUCACACUGUGACGGUAUCUUACCAGAAAGGGACGGCUAACUACGUG
rnacentral:rRNA from 1 species